UACGGGGGGAGCAAGCGUUGUUCGGAUUUACUGGGCGUAAAGGGCGCGUAGGCGGUCGUGACAAGUCACUUGUGAAAUCUCCGGGCUUAACUCGGAACGGUCAAGUGAUACUGUCGGACUAGAGUACAGAAGGGGCAACUGGAAUUCUCGGCGUAGCGGUGAAAUGCGUAGAUAUCGAGAGGAACACCUGCGGCGAAGGCGGGUUGCUGGGCCGACACUGACGCUGAUGCGCGAAAGCCAGGGGAGCGAACGGG
rnacentral:rRNA from 1 species